rnacentral:rRNA from 1 species
UAAGACGUAGGGUGCAAGCGUUGUCCGGAUUUACUGGGCGUAAAGAGCGCGUAGGCGGCUCGUUAAGUGAGAAGUGAAAGCUCUGGGCUCAACCCCAGAAACCGCUUUUCAUACUGGCGAGCUGGAGUGAUGCAGAGGUGGAUAGAAUUCCCGGUGUAGCGGUGAAAUGCGUUGACAUCGGGAGGAAUACCCAUGGCGAAGGCAGUCCACUGGGCAUCAACUGACGCUGAGGCGCGAAAGCGUGGGUAGCAAACAGGAUUAGAUACCCUGGUAGUCCACGCCCUAAACGAUGGAUGCUAGGCGUAGGAGGUAUCGACCCCUCCUGUGCCGCAGCUAACGCACUAAGCAUCCCGCCUGGGGACUACGGCCGCAAGGUUGAAACUCAAAUGAAUUGACGGGGACCCGCACAAGCGGUGGAGCAUGUGGAUUAAUUCGAUACUAACCGAAGAACCUUACCCAGGUUUGACAUCGGGGGAAAGCCUAUGAAAGUAGGCCCUCGCCCACAAGGC